GUUUACAGCCAUACCACCCUGAGCACGAUCUUCUCUGAUCUCGGAAGCUAAGCAGGGUUAGGUCUGGAUAGUUUUUGCUUGGGAGACUGGGAAUAGUGGGUGCUGGAAGCU
rnacentral:rRNA from 1 species